GUUAGGUAACCUCAAUCAAAUGGACAAAGUGAGGUGUAUGUUGGUAUCGUAAAGCAGAUAUUUAACAAAGCAUACAAAAGUGGGAAAGAUCCAUAUCUCGCUAUGCUCGAGUUUAGAAAUACUCCGAUAAGCGGACUGCUUUAUUCGCCAUCACAACUGCUGAUGAGUAGAAGACUCAGGGACAUCAUUCCAACUGAUCCCAAACUAUUGAAACCAUCGGUAGCUGAAAAUGCAGAGACAUUACUCAACGAACGACAGAGGAAAAGCAAAGUGAAAUACGAUUCAAAAGCAAGGUUACCUAAAGACUACUCUGUCGGGGAGAAGGUGAGAGUUCGUCUAGGACAAACAUGGCAGAAAGCAGUCGUCAUUAAGAAACAUCCAUCACCCAGAUCUUACAUCAUAAAGACAAAUGAUGGGAAAACAUACAGACGAAAUCAACGGUUUUUAAACAAGAGCUACGAAGAAGACAUCUCUGGGUACUAUGACACCGACAAAGACAAUGAACAGCAAACUGUUAGAACAAACGAAACAGACAAUUAUAAACCAACAUCUAGAGAACUUGCUGUGCCAGUCAAGACAACCAGAAGUGGUCGAGUUGUCAAAAUUCCUUGUAAAUAUAAGUAUUAAGAACUUUAAAAGGAAGGAUGUGAUAAUAGCUUCAAAAGGAAGGAUGUGCUAAUAUUAGAAGAUAUUACGUCAUUGUUUGUUGUUUAUGUUUUAUGCGAAAGCAAAGAAUCGGACGGAAAUAAAAGUUAUCAUUAUUAAUUAGUAACGUCUACAGUAAAUUAUUAUUAAUCUGUGACAACAGAACAUCAUCUAUUAAAUCAAUAUUAGCCUAUUAAUACAAGUUUGAAGCCGGAAAAGUUUGAUUUCUAUACGAAAUUCUACCCAAGAGAAUGAUCGUAUUUAUGACAGUCACAAUAUCUUGGGCUUGUGCCUACAUUUACAGCCCCUCUCACAUGUUCAUACGUAUGUAACAUGAGAAUGACUUUCUGACGGAAAACUUCUGACUAUUAUGUGGAAAACAUUUUUUUUUUUUUGGUCUACGAAGUUACUAGAUCUAUAUAACAGUUUGAUAACCACUGCCCUGCGUAUUUACCCCGUUUAGAUUUAGCUAAUUAACAAAUUAGCAUCGAAGCUCGAGCUAACCUGGACAGCUUCCGUUUGCCGGUGAUUGUUUAUCGAAACAUUGAAUGCACCUUGUGCGAGUGUCUGGCUAUAGAAUAUCAACACCAACACAUACUGUCACAUAGUGACAUAACAGAUGUUCCUUCAGAGUUGAAAUGAAUGAAGAUAAUCUACUUCCUAGGCGAAAUCUCUGCAAGAUGACGGGGAUGGCAGUGAACAGAUCUGAAGCCAGGGUUUUAUGGCUCUAUAAUAAAAACUAAAAUGUAACUCUUUGAGCUAUUCCAACUUACCUAGAUAACAAUAAGCUGUCAAAUAGUGUACAGGAGACUAACUUUGAAAAUAAAGACCUCUGCUUUAACUUAGGUCAAUCCUUAGCCAAGAUAAAUAAGCAAUAUGCUCCUGCAAAAGGAUAAUAGAUUUUUUCAAAAGAAAUAGAAACUAAUGAAGACUGUUGUGAGGAUGGUGCCAAGUUUGAACAAUGACCGCCAUCAUCCUCCCUGUCCUCCAGUUGUGGUCUUAAACUUUAUAUAUCUAAGAAAAACAAACAGAACCAGACUUUUUAAAUGCUAAAUAACUACCAGGCCUGUACAAUUCAGUAGACAAUUGUCUACUGAAUAUUUUAGGGACUUGAUGGUAAUGUUUUGAAUCAUUCAGUGUGGAAUCAAAUGUAUCAGUGAUAUUCAAACUAUGAUCCAUAGGCCAUAUCCAGCGAGUGACAGGUCUUAACUGGUCACUUGAAAUUCUCGCUAUGCAGAAUGAAGCAGAAAAGACUUAAUUCAUUGAACACCACAAUUUUGUGUGACCUGUGACACACAUAUUGCACACAUGUGGCCCCUAGAGCAAACAAGAUUCAGCACCAUUGUAAUACAUACAGUUUGCAAGCCAACAUAAUUUUUUAUUUGGAUCUGAGAACAUUUAUAAGUAUCUAACACUAUUCAACACUUUCUGACAGCCGAAACUUUGCAAAAUACAUGGUUACAAGGAGUGUUCCUUAAAUGUGUGUAUGUUAAAAUAAAAAAUUGUGCUGUCUCGUGUAUUUCAAUGAAGUGUGAUUUAUCAGUAUUUUGUAACAAGUACUGAGUCUCUGUGUAACUGGUUUCUAAAACUAACAUAAACUAUUUUGCUAAAAAAAAAUAAUUAAAUGUACUUUUUUCCUUUAAGAUAGGACUUUUUUUUUCCUUUUAGUACAAUACUUAUAAUAAUUUUUAUCAUAAUAAAUCAAUACAAUGUGUAUAUAAUUUAGCAUUUGUCUGCCUUUAGAUGUAUAAAAAUGAAUUUUGUAAAGAUUCUUUUUUUUUAAACUAAUUAAAUAAUGAUACUUUUGGAGGUAUUUGGCACUAUAAAUAUCUUUUCAAAUAUAUGAUAUAUGCUUUUUAGAAAAGCAUGUAUAGACUCUUUGCAAGUCAGUGUGGAUUUCGAGCUGGGAGAGACACAUCUGACAUGAUAUUUGUCUAGCAUCAAAUGCAGGAAAAAUGCAGGUAGCUGAUUUGUAUGCCAACUUUAUCGAUCUCAGCAGUGAGAUAUAGUGAGUCACAAUGGCUGGUGGUGAUUUCUAUCUCAGCUCGGAUGCCCUUCAAGAUUCUUUGCUAUUCUGAAGCUACUGCAUGUGGGUCGAAAGGUUAAAUCAGUUUUAAUAGGGACCUGUCAGCUUAUUUCUCUGUAGAGAAUGGUGUGAUGCAAGGUUGUGUGUGUUGAUAAUAUUACCACAUUCUGUAGCUUUAGACAGUAAAGGAAUCCAUCCUAUACCUAAAUUAGGCAACUAUCCUUCAAUGAUGCUUUGCUGGAGUAAAACAUGGCCAGUUAUCCAGCCAGAGCUGGAAAUGAGCUCCUGCGCAAACUUAGUACUCUUAGUGCUAUUGAUGACUAAGAUACAUUGUAGUAUAUAAACUAUGGUAAAUUUAU